rnacentral:misc_RNA from 1 species
AACGCACCUUGCACCUUUUGGUAUUCCGAAAGGUAUGCCUGUUUGAGUGUCAUGAAACCUCAAUCCCCCGGGUUUAGUUACUCGGGGUGCAUUGGACUUGGGCCCUGCCUCCUGGCUGGCCUCAAAAGACUUAGUGGGACUAGCCCAGACAGGACGUAAUAAGGUUCGUCCGUGCCGAAAGCGAAGCCUGCUCCAAACCCAUCAUACCUUUACUUCUGACCUCAAAUCAGGUAGGGCUACCCGCCGAACUUAA